rnacentral:tmRNA from 1 species
GGGGGCGUCACGGCUUCGACGGAAGUGCUUGCGGUUGAGAGGCAUGCCGGGGUGUCACACCCGUAAUCGUGGCAAAAACACAAUUGCCAACCAACAGAUGGCAUACGCUGCUUAAUUGAUUUAAGUAGCCGUCCUCCGCGGCUUCGCCUGCGGGCUGCGGAAGGGCGUCGCACAGCAGGCUCGCCCGCCGCCUUCGGUCCGCAGGCGGCAGGCUAGAUCAUCGGACUAGCGGCUGGCGUUUCUUGCCGGCUCUGAGCGUACGCCGCGAACGUUCCCGUAAGGGAGCAUGAACCGCGCUAAGCAUGUAGGCUCUUGGCCAGUAACAUUUUCGGACCCGGGUUCAACUCCCGGCGCCUCCACCA